ensembl:lncRNA
CAGGAAGUGUGGAGCCAAACGGAGUACGGUGCAUAGACUGUACAUAAUUUUUUUUUUCGUGAGUUUUCAUGCUCAAAAUGAGAGAUCAGGUGGCCGAUCUUAAAAUAAAUCAAUACUGAUUUUUUUUAUAGAGCGUUAAAGUUUUGCGAAGCCAGGGGGCGGGACUACUUGAUUGACAGUCCGUUCCGGAACGAUUGACAGGUCCUAUGGAGGAGGCAGCAGAGACUCUGUUCUCCUCGUUUGGAUUAAUUCUGACAUAAUAACUGUUGGUUUAUUUAUCGGUGGAGCAGCAGAACAUUUUCUACAGACAGUUUUCCUGCCCGUUGGCUUGUUUUAACCAGUUUUCUACCUUCGGCUGAUUCUACCAGCAGACUCUGAAAGGACUCUUAGUUCAAGUGAAAGCAGCAGUUCCUCCUUAAGGUCAGAGAUUGCAGCAUCUGAGGGCCUCUUCAAAAGAAGACGUAGUUGAUGAAGGCAUUCUGGAGCAGGACCAGAAAGACCACGACCAAGCAGCCUUGAGAUCUUAGGCAGCGUCUCCCUCAGGUCCCUCUCUAUCUCCCCACACAUCCACCAACCACUGGAACACAUCUCCAAAGUUCUGCCGGGCCAGCUCAGCUUCCCCUCAGAAGAAGUGCCGCCACCUGCCAGAUGAAGGAGCCUUUUGAGAGGCAGCUGGCAUCGUGAUUGGACUGUACUUUGGUCUGUUCCAAUCCAGCUUCAGCUCCAGAGACGGCAGGCAGGACGAGUCAACGGAGGCCGGGUGGACGAAGGCAUGCAGCUGAGUACAAUCCAGAAAACAACAGAGGAGGAGCGCAGCGGCCCAGGACCAGAACAACCAGAGUAUGUCUCUUAGAAAACAUCAUAGUAUAGCCUUUGCUAUGAAAAAACACCAUCAUAUACAUCAUAGAUUGUACAAAUAACAAGUCAAAGGAAAGAGACAUACAUUGUAGAAUUGUAGUAAUUGUGGGCUGAUUGAUUUACUGAUUAUCAGUAUUUUAUUUUUUACUGAUUUACGGUAAUAAAUACAUUUAAAAAUGGUGCUACUUUGGCUCUGAACCUUUAUCUACCUGUGGUUGCUCUGUCUACUAGAGUGCUUUGAUUGGUUAUACAUCACGAAUAAAAC